UACGUAGGUGGCAAGCGUUGUCCGGAUUUACUGGGCGUAAAGGGCUCGUAGGCGGUCUGUCGCGUCGGGAGUGAAAACUCAGGGCUUAACCCUGAGCCUGCUUCCGAUACGGGCAGACUAGAGGUAUGCAGGGGAGAACGGAAUUCCUGGUGUAGCGGUGGAAUGCGCAGAUAUCAGGAGGAACACCGGUGGCGAAGGCGGUUCUCUGGGCAUUACCUGACGCUGAGGAGCGAAAGUGUGGGGAGCGAACAGG
rnacentral:rRNA from 1 species